GCGCUGUCGGCGCCAUCAUGCAGUUGUGUGGUCAGGUGUGGUCAGCUCUGUCGGCGCCAUCAUGCAGUUGUGUGGUCAGGUGUGGUCAGCUCUGUCAGCGCCAUCAUGCAGUUGUGUGGUCAGGUGUGGUUAGUCAUGUUGGCGCCAUCAUGCUUGUUGUGUGGUCAGGUGUGGUCAGCUCCGUCGGCGCCAUCAUGCUUGUUGUGUGGUCAGGUGUGGUCAGCUCCGUCGGCACCAUCAUGCAGUUGUGUGGUCAGGUGUGGUCAGCGCUGUCAGCGCCAUCAUGCAGUUGUGUGGUCAGGUGUGGUCAGCGCUGUCAGCGCCAUCAUGCAGUUGUGUGGUCAGGUGUGGUCAGCGCUGUCAGCGCCAUCAUGCAGUUGUGUGGUCAGGUGCGGCAAAGAAGGACAUAGGCAAAUUGCGGUUUGUCCAAAUCAAAGCAACACGUAUUGCACAUAGAUAUACAC
ensembl:lncRNA